rnacentral:rRNA from 1 species
UACGUAGGGGGCUAGCGUUGUCCGGAAUCAUUGGGCGUAAAGGGUGCGUAGGCGGGUCUUUAAGUCAGGGGUGAAAUCCUGGAGCUCAACUCCAGAACUGCCUUUGAUACUGAAGAUCUUGAGUUCGGGAGAGGUGAGUGGAACUGCGAGUGUAGAGGUGAAAUUCGUAGAUAUUCGCAAGAACACCGGUGGCGAAGGCGGCCUGCUGGGCUGUGGCUGACGCUGAGGCGCGACAGCGUGGGGAGCAAACAGG